rnacentral:rRNA from 1 species
UUGGAGGGCAAGUCUGGUGCCAGCAGCCGCGGUAAUUCCAGCUCCAAUAGCGUAUAUUAAAGUUGUUGCAGUUAAAAAGCUCGUAGUUGAAUUUCGGGAUCAAUUUAUCGGUCGUGCCUACGGUAUGAACUGGUACAAUUGGUUUCUCCCUUCUGACGAAGCAUGAUGUCAUUAAUUUGGUGUCGUGGGGAAUCAGGACUGUUACUUUGAAAAAAUUAGAGUGUUUAAAGCAAGCAUUAGCUUGAGUACAUUAGCAUGGAAUAAUGAAAUAGGACGUUUGAUCCUAUUUCGUUGGUUUCUAGGAUCGACGUAAUGAUUAAUAGGGAUAGUUGGGGGCAUUAGUAUUCAAUUGUCAGAGGUGAAAUUCUUGGAUUUAUUGAAGGCUAACUACUGCGAAAGCAUUUGCCAAGGAUGUUUUCAUUAAUCAAGAACGAAAGUUAGGGGAUCGAAGACGAUCAGAUACCGUCGUAGUCUUAACCAUAAACUAUGCCGACUAGGGAUCGGAUGAUGUUAAUUUUUUAAUGACUCAUUCGGCGCCUUACGGGAAAC